AUUAUUAUUCAAUCAGUAUCAAAGAGGUCAUUGCACUGACCUGACCAUGCAAAAUAUAUAUUUAUAUACAAAAAAUGUCACACAUAGUAGAAAAGGCUUCGAUUUUCGUAUUCGGUUUAAAAUAUUUGAGCAAAAUUGCAUUUCAUGUUUUAUCAUAUUUAAAAUCACCGAUUUACUUAUCCCUUUCUUUUGAUAUUUUGCGAUAUUUCUAGUUUUCCAGAUAACCCAUUUCGUGAUUAAAAGCACCGUAUCUAAAAUUUGGGUAUAAGAUGC
rnacentral:lncRNA from 1 species